GCCAGGACAAAGCUGAUGACUGCUUGACCUUUGGUGUGCUGUAUGGGAACUGCGGAGUCAUGUCCUGAACCUCUGAUUGAUCACCUGAGGCGAGCCAUGAGUCAGCCAGAGGAGCACAGGUGAAGGCAAUUCACCUGUGCUGCCGGAAGCCAGGCUGCACCCAUCCUAGACCUAUUGAAGAGCUGGCUACCAGUAGGGAAGGAUCUCUUCUGGAGAUUGCAUCUUCUGGUGUUUUGUAGGUGAGCCCAGCAUAAGGAGGCAUAUGUCCCUGCUCAACUCUUCUAUAAUGGAAAGGUGGAUUAUUUUGACCUUCAGUGACUCAGAGGUCUUCUGUCUCAUCUCAAGAAGAUUCUGAAAGGUAAGCGCUCUCACUUUCAGCAGCUUUACCACAGGUCCUGACUGAAGUUCAACCAAGAGACGUCUCAGCGAGGGAGCUGUGGGUAAUGAAAUGUGAUUAAAUGUAAGGAGAGGAGACUUGAAUUUUAAUGAGAUGAAAAUUAUUCUAGAGAAGGCAGCAUCCCUCUGGGGUGGAGUAUCCUUUAAGUUAACAGCUUACUCUUUAUAUCCCCAACUGGGAUACUAAUUUAUCUUCUGCUAAUUGCAGGCUCUGUCCUGAGUGUUUAGUUAGAAACUUUUUUUUCUGAACUCCUGUUCUGAUUUUUCUUGCUUUUAUUCUCUGCUCCAAGCUCAUUAUGGUGUGUGGUGGGGACAGUGGAGAUGUGCUGAGCAGAGUCAGCUCUCAGUCCCUUUUUUUCUAAGAACUCUGACAGACAUCACCAAUGGCCUCAAGCAUCACUCAAUUUCCAGAGUGCACAAAAGCAGCAAUCUGUACAAAGAAAAAAAAAAAAGAAACCUUAAGAUCAUUUCUUUCUAGACUCCAAUCUCAAACUGCUCUUUCUUAAAAGCAACUCAUAUGUACCCUUGUAUGCUUUCUUCAAUCUCAUUUACAGUGCAGUAGUAAAAGCCACCAGACUUUCUUUGAUCUUUGUUCUGUUCUUCCCCUGUUGCUCAGGGGUUGCAGAGAAGGUGGAGAGGGAGGAGACAGAAAGAUGUUAGUAAAA